rnacentral:tRNA from 1 species
GCCCCAGUAGUCUAUCGGUUAGGAUACGACCCUGUCAAGGUUGUGGGGCGGGUUCGACUCCCGCCUGGGGCG